GACGAACCGUGCGAACGUUAUUCGGAAUCACUGGGCUUAAAGCGCGUGUAGGCGGGACGGCACGUCGGUCGCUGAAAUCCCCCGGCUUAACCGGGGAACGGGCGUCGAUACGACCGUCCUGGAGGGGCGGAGGGGGACCUGGAACUUCCGGUGGAGCGGUGAAAUGCGUUGAGAUCGGAAGGAACGCCCGUGGCGAAAGCGAGGUCCUGGACGCCUACUGACGCUGAGACGCGAAAGCCAGGGGAGCGAACGGG
rnacentral:rRNA from 1 species